GUGUACGCAUUUUUACUAUUCGAAUACGUAACAUUGCGAAUAAGUUAUGGAAUAAAAUCUCAGUUCUUUGAUACAUGUGCACUAUCUUAUGUGAUCAUAUUUAACAAACAUAUAUUUUGGAGCGAUAAAUCAAGAGAAGGGACAAUGCGCUUUUAAUUCUUUUUUUCUGCUUUCGUUAUUAAUCACAUAUAAGUCAAGCGAAAGGUAUAAUCUUGAAAAGCAUACAAUUUCUUCUUACCAUAGGAACAGUUUUAGAAAUGAGUCAAAUUAAGCAAAAAUCUCUCAUCAAAGAUUUAUUCCACAAGAAACAAUCAAGAAAUCAGAAAAAAAAAUUAAACGAAAAAAUCAGAGAAUGUAAUGGUAUUGAUUAUCCAUUGGACAUAUGGUUUAUAAUAUCAGAAUAUAUUAAACCAGAAGAUAUAGGGAAAUUUGCUUGUAUUUGUAGAUCUUCUUACUAUGUGACUACAACUGCAAAAUUUUGGUUUCAUUUAUAUAAGAUUUAUUACAAGUUCGUUCCUGGUAUACCAGAACGCUUGCAGCCACAUUGGAUGGUACUACGCCAUGAAUUACGUUUUUGCGUCAUCAGGACAUUGCAUUAUUCCUAUUUUGCUGAAAGGAGUACAUUAAACUAUGUAUCACAGUUACAGCAAAGAGAGCCACAUUCUCUUGUUAAAAGACGAUGUUCUCUCAUGUGGCACAAAAAAGGAAUUAGUCGAUGGUAUUUUUUUUUCAAAUUAAAAGAAAUAUCAAGAAUAUGUAAUCGUACUUUGACACAACAAAAUAAAAACAUACAUGAAGAAAUGAAUGAUAUUGAAAGAGCAGAAAAGAUAAAUGCAAAUCCAGAAGAAGGUUGUAAAAUUUUACGUGUAAGAUGUGUAGAAUAUAGCAAAUUACCAUUAGUAAUUGGACUAAUUUUACAGAAACUAUCAGUGACCUUAAUGCCUGGUCUUAAAUACUUGCGGUUACAGCUUGGAUUUGGAACAUCAGAUAUUCCAAAUGCAUUAACAAGCCAAGUUAUACUCAAUUAUGUAAAUGAUUAUGAAGUUUUAGAUUGGUGGCAUCCGCGUUAUCCACAUCAAGAUACAAUAUCUCAUUUAUGUGAGUUUCAGUUCUAAUUGAAUAACCUAAACAUUCGAUUAUUUCUCAACAUUCGUCUCAAUAUUUUUACAUAUUGAUUUCGUACAAGUCUUUUGGAUAUUAACGAGCUCCAAGGUUUAUCUAUUAAAGCUAUUCAGCCACUUAUCACUCGAGACGUGUAUUAUCUCAGCAAAGAGUAUAGGAAGAAAUGUAAAAGCGUAUUAGAAAAUCUAGUUCCUCCUAUUCAUUCUUUCUAUUGAUUCAUUGUAUUGUAUUCAGUGUAUGCUUAUAUAGAUAAUCACGCUAUCGAUGCACGUGAAUUGAAGAACUGAGUUGACAAUGAGACAUCAUUUAAUGUAUGAGCGUCAAUUUGUACAGAACAAAGGCAAAAUGUAUUUUGUAAGAGAAACGAAACGUGCGAUUUUUAAAUAGACAUUAAUAUUUUUCUCAUA